GGUGGGUCAGUAACCAGACAGAAUCCCAAAGGAGGACACAGAAGCUCCAAGAGGGGCAGUGACGCCAUUGUGGGCCCUCAACAGGGCAGCCUUCGUGCCAAGGACUUAAAUCCAGAAAAAUGUUCCUGUACACGCACCCGGAGGCUUUUGCAGGAGGCGGCUGUUGGAGAACCUGGAAAACAAGCCAAGAAACAAGAGAGAGGAAAAAGACCACGCCUCGCCUGGCAGAUUCCUAAUGGCCCAGGAGACCUGAGGCUUUACAAAAGAACCCUUCCCAGCCCCUGCCAUGAGCCUGGACUUGCUCUGCUGGCAGUGGAAGGAAUGUGGCUCUGGCCGCCACAGCUGCUGGUGGCCAGCUGCGGCUUCAGCUCCUGCUGCUCCCACCCCAGUAGGCAAAGGGACAAAGGCCUCUUCUUAGGCUUGUCCCUUUGGAUCAGUGGGGGCAGAGAAUCCACAGAGAAUCCACCAGGAGGCUUGGCCACUGACCAGCUAAUAACUUAGCUGUUCCCCUCUGGACCUCAGUGCCCUUUCUGGAAAAUGGGGACAGAGUAUUUGCCUGACUUAUUUCUUGGCAUUGUCUUCCAAAGGGGGGAAGUUACAGAAGUGCACUCCUCCCUGCACCUCCUUCUGCUUGAGGGUAGAGGGUCUGCCUACUUAGAGACCUCUCUGCCUCAAAUUCCCCUCCCUACCUCAUGCUAUACCUAGCCAACCCCUACUCACUCAGCUCAGCUCAGCUCAGCUCAGCAGGACCAUCCCCUACUCUGGGGAGCCUGCCCUCACCUCAAGACUGUGCUGC